rnacentral:rRNA from 1 species
UACAGAGGGGGCAAGCGUUAUUCGGAAUUACUGGGCGUAAAGGGCUCGUAGGCGGCCAACUAAGUCAGACGUGAAAUCCCUCGGCUUAACCGGGGAACUGCGUCUGAUACUGGAUGGCUUGAGAUUGGGAGAGGGAUGCGGAAUUCCAGGUGUAGCGGUGAAAUGCGUAGAUAUCUGGAGGAACACCGGUGGCGAAGGCGGCAUCCUGGACCAACACUGACGCUGAGGGAGCGAAAGCCAGGGGAGCAAACGGG